UGUGCCGAGUAGUUUGUUCGUGGCCGUGGUCGAGCGUGCUUCUCGUAGCUAACACUUGCGCGGUCGAGUCUGCGCGUCACGCGUACUUUGAUUGGUCAGUGUUUUUUAUUAAUAAUUCAAAAACUAAACCUUGACGCACAUUUUGGUAUAAAAAAAGUUGUUAAAAAUCAUCCCAGCUACCACCUCCUGUAAGGAUGUCCAUCCAUAACCUAACAUUUUGUACAAACCCCUCGAUGGGGUUAUGGCCUCUACUAAGGGUCAGAAUAAUAUUUCAAGUCAAGUAACUCGAUUAAUCUAAAAGUCGCGGAAAUGUGAUUUAAUUGUGAACUAAAGUGAACACCGGCCAAAUUCUCGUAUAGGAUUACGUCUGGGUUAUGGUAAAUGAUUGAUCGAGCACAAGUGUUCAUAUGGCGCGCAUCAAACACUAAGGAAGAACUCCAAUAUCUCAGCAAAUGAGAGAAAGAAGAGAAUCUUCAUUUACCUCCUCAACAGACAGAAUUCGAGAUUCUUGUUCGAGUUCCAACAGCUGUUUCCACUGGGGAUUACACAUUGGUGCCGGCCCACAAUUCCUGGUUCCAAAGCGACCACAGCGACGCCGCACAAAGCAUGCCGCAAGCUUCAGCCACGCGCCAAACAACGGCAAACAUAAUCCGACGUCAGUUAGUGGGGUAUCUAUCCGCCAGAAGGGUAGCCAUCGCAUAGCAGAGAGAACUGGCCCAAAGCGUUGAGUCUAUUUGGCUGAGCAAAGCACGAUUCUCCGUCUGAGCAGCAUCCUAGUCUCGAGUCUCACCUGUAUCCCGGACGAAAGGGGGGUUGGAAAGGAAGGAAGAAGGGUGGAGAAGGCGAAAUAGAUCAGGAUUGCAAUCCCCACCAGACGGUUAUUUCCCCUUCUCGCGGUCGCGCCGAAGGGGUAGGAAAGCGGACGAGGGGGGUAGAGGUCGGUUGUGGCUGCGUUGAACGGGGUGUCGGCGGCCCCGCCCGUCAUAUUCCGCCAGGGCCAAUCCCGCGUGUGCUUUUUAUUAGAUCCAUAAAUCCAUCAUAUCGUCGUUCAACCCUCCCGACAAAGCAGCCAUUGGCCAGGCUUAUGAGUACGCGACGUCGCCGGCCGAAAACUCGGAACACCGUGUUUAUGGCGUUGGCGCAUUGCGGACGUUCCUUCAGACCCGCCUUGUUAUUAAUAUUGAAUUUUUAGCCGCGAACGAGACAAGAAGGUACAGCUCUGCCGGUUGAUAUAGAGAUGGCGCAAGCGCGCUAUCCAAACCGUGUUCGGUCCAGUUCGGCCAAGAGGAGACCAGAGAGCAACGCACAGCCCUCCUACCUCCAUCGUCCAACCGGAACUCGAUCGUUUUCUCUCUCCGUAGGCCGAACAUCGAGAGCAAACAGCUGAAACAACCAUCUUAAAAGAUGUAUCGCGAGCAACCGUGAUGAUCGGGCUAGCGCGAGACUUGUAAGCGGGAAAGAAGGGUGAAAUGGUAGCAGGCAAGGCUUGGAAAGAGACCAGGGGACUCCUUGACGGACGCGGAGAUCAAUAACCUCCGAUAGCAUACUCGGAUAGCUAUAUACCGGGCCAUUUCCAACGGCAAUAAAACGCCAUAGCUACGUGUAUUGCGAUUCUCUUGCCGGCCUCCUAUUGGCCGUAAAACACUGGCCGGCUGAAAGGUUGAAUUUUAUCGUAGAGGGCGGGAGGAAGAAAUAUCGAUGGGAAAAGGAGAACGCGGAAUACAUGCAUCCGGGGGUGUCUUUCGCUCGGCUUGAAUUGUUGCAGGGGUGCGUUCGUCCAACAGAGUAUUUGAUAGGACCGGGAUAAAGAGUGGAAACGACCGUACCCCUCUCUGCAUGCUUUAUCACCUACCACCAAACUAUACUACCGGAACAUUUUUAUUUUCUUUUCUUUUCUUUUCUUUAUUCAUUUAUUUAUUAUUAGUCGAGUCCACUGUUAAGAUUCUUAAUCUUAAAUGGAAAGUCUUGUUUUAAUCAGAGUACUUUCUUCAUAUCAGGUCAUCUAAUUACCAUCAAUGAUAAUGGUGUUAGGAAUAAUACAGUAGGAACUUAUUUCAACUGAUAAGAGACAAGUAUAAGAAUUCGUGUGGGAAGAUUUUAUUUAAGCGCGCGAGUCGCGUGACAGGGUUGUAACGUGAGAUCGAUUCGGAUACCCAAACAUCGGGGACUGUUAGCUUUAAGUCGAGGGGUAGUAGAUUGGGAAGCAAAUCCAUAGAUACUGGAUAGCGUCCUCUUGAACUGUGCGAUGUUCAUUUCACCCCUGUAUCAUUUACUUUCGUCGAUCAACAAAAAAACAACGAUGAAAUUCUAACAUUUAAACAAAAAAUACAAGAAGCUUCCCAAACGACCCCUUAUCAACGAAAAGUACUUCUAAAAUUGGUAUUUUCUUUAUUUUCAUGUAACUUUUUAUUACAAUUUCGAAUAAGUUUGUAAAGUGUGGAGGAUGUAAAGGUUGGUAGGGGAUGAAUUUCCAUCUACGCAGAAUCAUACUCGGCGUGUAUGAAUAUGAAGAAAUGUGAUGGAGCAACACCAUUGGAUGAUCCCAGUCUCCAAUCAUAAAAUAGCUCGAUAUGAAGCGGUGCUAUGAUAUGAUAUUAUCAUAACGCGACUAGGGUUAUUAUUGGUCGAAGUCACCCUACUCCGCUUUUCCUUGCUCCUUCCUUUCUUCCGCCGUUCCAACCACCCCCGACGCAUACGUUUCUCCAGCGUCGAGGUGGGGCUCAGCCCCGCCAGUCGUCUCUCAACCCUCUUCAAACCCCCCUCGUCUCUCAACCGCCCUCCAACCCCCCCGAAUUAUGAGGAUCAAUACACGAGGAAGCUUGCAAGGGCAGCGCCGACGCUACUCGCUUGUCGACCUCCUUCGAGCACGGACUCCCUCGACCAACUGGACCUUCCAUAGGGUGAUGGCUACUCCAUCGGUCAUCCUUGAAUUAUUUUUAAACAAUGAUGCACAAUGGUAAACAAACUUAUCUCGUUUGUGUUAUUACCCCUUAGUACAUGCCAUCGUGUAAAUAUAUUUACGACAUUGCCUCUUUAACAAAAUUAAUAAAACAUUAAUAAAUUAGCAUCGAAACCCUCCUUACCGGAAUUUCCCCACAGACAAUUCAGUUUUUAAUCUUUGAUUGACCGAAAACAAAGCCGGUUAACCGAAGAUUUCCAGAUCCCCGAGAUCUCUAUCGAAAUAAUGAAAUAUGCAAACUU